rnacentral:rRNA from 1 species
AACGAACGCUGGCGGCAUGCCUAACACAUGCAAGUCGAACGAGAUCCUUCGGGGUCUAUUGGCGCACGGGUGCGUAACGCGUGGGAAUCUGCCCUUAGGUUCGGAAUAACAGUUAGAAAUGACUGCUAAUACCGGAUGAUGACGUUAAGUCCAAAGAUUUAUCGCCUGAGGAUGAGCCCGCGUAGGAUUAGCUAGUUGGUGUGGUAAAGGCGUACCAAGGCGACGAUCCUUAGCUGGUCUGAGAGGAUAAUCAGCCACACUGGGGCUGAGACACGGCCCAGACUCCUACGGGAGGCAGCAGUGGGGAAUAUUGGAAAAUGGGCGCAAGCCUGAUCCAGCAAUGCCGCGUGAGUGAUGAAGGCCUUAGGGUUGUAAAGCUCUUUUACCCGGGAUGAUAAUGACAGUACCGGGAGAAUAAGCCCCGGCUAACUCCGUG